rnacentral:rRNA from 1 species
CCUACGGGUGGCAGCAGUAGGGAAUAUUGCUCAAUGGGGGAAACCCUGAAGCAGCAACGCCGCGUGGAGGAUGAAGGUUUUCGGAUUGUAAACUCCUUUUGUUAGAGACGAUAAUGACGGUAUCUAACGAAUAAGCACCGGCUAACUCCGUGCCAGCAGCCGCGGUAAUACGGAGGGUGCAAGCGUUACUCGGAAUCCCGGGGCGUAAAGAGCGCGUAGGCGGGAUAGCAAGUCAGAUGUGAAAUCCUAGGGCUUAACCAUAGAACUGCAUUUGAAACUGUUAUUCUAGAGUAUGGGAGAGGUAGGUGGAAUUCUGGGUGUAGGGGUAAAAUCCGUAGAGAUCAAGAGGAAUACUCAUUGCGAAGGCGACCUGCUAGAACAUAACUGACGCUGAUGCGCGAAAGCGUGGGGAGCAAACAGGAUUAGAUACCCCGGUAGUC